AGAGUUUGAUCAUGGCUCAGGAUGAACGCUGGCGGCGUGCCUAAUACAUGCAAGUCGAGCGAACAGAUAAGGAGCUUGCUCCUUUGACGUUAGCGGCGGACGGGUGAGUAACACGUGGGUAACCUACCUAUAAGACUGGGAUAACUUCGGGAAACCGGAGCUAAUACCGGAUAAUAUUUCGAACCGCAUGGUUCGAUAGUGAAAGAUGGUUUUGCUAUCACUUAUAGAUGGACCCGCGCCGUAUUAGCUAGUUGGUAAGGUAACGGCUUACCAAGGCGACGAUACGUAGCCGACCUGAGAGGGUGAUCGGCCACACUGGAACUGAGACACGGUCCAGACUCCUACGGGAGGCAGCAGUAGGGAAUCUUCCGCAAUGGGCGAAAGCCUGACGGAGCAACGCCGCGUGAGUGAUGAAGGUCUUCGGAUCGUAAAACUCUGUUAUUAGGGAAGAACAUACGUGUAAGUAACUGUGCACGUCUUGACGGUACCUAAUCAGAAAGCCACGGCUAACUACGUGCCAGCAGCCGCGGUAAUAC
rnacentral:rRNA from 1 species